AGAAGGAAAAAGCUUGAAUCCCAUCAAAUUUCUUACUGAACCCCAUCAAAAGUCUCCAGAAAAUUGUUUCAAUAAUAGGAGUGGGGGUGAUUAUCUUGUGGAAAAAAAAUUCCAAAUUUAUUUUAAUGGUGCAGGAAGUAACAGCUGGGAAUAGUGGAAACUCAGUGUGAGGGGAAAUGGGUAAUGGUUUAAAUCUAAUUUACCGAAGGGUAUUUGAAGGAUUAAAAGUUUUAUUUGGUGCAAAGACAAAAAAAGGAGGUACAGGAAAAAUGGUCGAAUUUCAAAUUUAGAAAUAACCCAAACAAAAACAAAAGUGGAUCUAAGUCAAAGGCAUGCAUAUUCUUCCUUUUCGAUGUAAUUGAUUAUUCUUAAC
rnacentral:lncRNA from 1 species